AUGGUCCUCGUCCGCUACGGCGUCUCCUACCUCGUCGAACACCCGCCUCCACCCAAUGCUUCCGCCACUUACCGCGAGCUCGAUGCCCACGUCGUUCUGUGGAUCUACGCCACACUCUCGGACACCAUGUGUGAUCACGUCGUCAGCGCCACGACCACUUUCGCCCUCUGGAACAAGAUCCGCGACUACUUCCUUGCCAAUCGCACCGCUCGCUUCAUGAUUCUCAACCGCAAGUACCGCAACCUCAAGCAGGGCGAUCUAUCCGUCUCCGAGUACGCUCGCAGGAUGAAACUCCUCACCGACGCUCUCGCCGACAUCGACCGCGCCGUCACCGAGGUGGACCUCACCACCCAGUUCCUCCAUGGCCUCGACAAGCAGCUCGACACGAUCCGGGUGGUCCUUGGCGAUCAGGACCUGCCCUUCGACAUCGUCCUAUCCCUGGUCGUCCUGGCCGAGGAAUCCCAGGAGCAUCGCGCGGCUGAAGAAAGCGCCUCCGUGUUCGCCCUGCAGAGUGGCGGCGCCCCGGGUGCCUGCUCCAGCACGGGUGGCCGUGCCCCAACAGAUCGUGCGGAUCGCGCCCCUGCUGGCGCCCCGGUCGCUACUCCACCGCCGCCCCCGCACCCUGGCCGUGGCCGUGGUGACCGCGAUGGUGGUGACCGCGGUGACCGUGGCCGCGGUCGUGGGCGUGGCGACAACACUGGACGCGGCCACGCCGCUCCUCUCCAGGCGUCGCCCUUCACCGGCUACUUCGUGCCCUACGGGAUGGCGAUCCCCUCCCCGCGCUCCGGUUGGGUCCCGCCAAAUGUGGCUGGCACUACUAGGAAAAGGCCUACUAGUGGUGCACCAGUUUUUCCUACUAAUGGCGCACUACUAGUGCGCCACUAG
rnacentral:rRNA from 1 species